CGGAAGGCGCGUUUGGCGGUGUGGGGAAGCGCUUGGAGAAAACUUUUGCGUCCGAGCCGUGGCUGCAGGAUUUUUCAUUCACAAACCUAGGCUGGAUGGAGAGGAAGGCUGCGAGGAAGAGGAAAAUGCCCCAGGACACCCAGGCAGAGAAAAAGCUGAGGAUGGAGACCAGGGAGGACAAAUCCCC